rnacentral:rRNA from 1 species
UGGGGAAUUUUGGACAAUGGGCGAAAGCCUGAUCCAGCAAUGCCGCGUGUGUGAAGAAGGCCUUCGGUUGUAAGCACUUUUGUCCGGAAAGAAAUCCUUGGCUCUAAUACAGUCGGGGGGAUGACGGUACCGGAAGAAUAAGCACCGGCUAACUACGUGCCAGCAGCCGCGGUAAUACGUAGGGUGCAAGCGUUAAUCGGAAUUACUGGGCGUAAAGCGUGCGCAGGCGGUUUGCUAAGACCGAUGUGAAAUCCCCGGGCUCAACCUGGGGAACUGCAUUGGUGACUGGCAGGCUAGAGUAUGGCAGAGGGGGUAGAAUUCCACGUGUGAGCAGUGAAAUGCGUAGAGAUGUGGAGGAAUACCGAUGGCGAAGGAGCCCCCUGGGCCAAUACUGACGCUCAUGCACGAAAGCGUGGGGGAGCAAACAGGAUU